UUAAAUCAUGAUGAAUUUUAUACCGCCCCAGACUUAUUCAUCCUGAAUGAUUGGUUUCGCUGACUUGU